rnacentral:ncRNA from 1 species
ACAAGCACGUUGAUAAGGAAUAGUACGCUUUUGAAACAUUCCAGAGAGCUGUCGGGUGGUGUGAGACAGUAAUGGGGCAAAAGGGGAACUCGCCUUUGAGUGGUCCGCUGAACUUUUUUUCGUAGGCGGUACCGGCAGUCCACCGUUAUCAAGGACAGGAUAUUAUGCUUACGGCAAGUAUCUAUAUGAGUGCACUUCGCAUGAAGUGAACAAGAGUGGUACCGUGGAGGGCUUAGCCUUUCAUCUCUAUU